UACGGGGGGAGCAAGCGUUGUUCGGAUUUACUGGGCGUAAAGGGCGCGUAGGCGGUCGUGACAAGUCACUUGUGAAAUCUCCGGGCUUAACUCGGAACGGUCAAGUGAUACUGUCGGACUAGAGUACAGAAGGGGCAACUGGAAUUCUCGGUGUAGCGGUGAAAUGCGUAGAUAUCGAGAGGAACACCUGCGGCGAAGCGGGUUGCUGGGCUGAUACUGACGCUGAGGCGCGAAAGCCCAGGGGAGCGAACGGGG
rnacentral:rRNA from 1 species